AUGUCGCAGGAACAGUUGCAAAGUCAAGCACUCAGAAUAGAGCAGCCGAGGAAACAAUUGGAAGCAGAGAAGGAGAAAACCAGACAAUUGAAAGAAUUGCAGCUACACAACUUGCCUCCCGUCAGAACUAGCAAACCAGCAGCCCCUCCUGGAUAUGCACAACAAGGUAGGACAUAUCAGGCAAGUCCUUUGGGCACUCCAGUCACAGCCAGACAACCUACAUACAAUUCCGCUUUUCAGCAAUACUAUCAGCAAAAUAGAGACAGGCAACUGUGGCAGGGUUAUGCAAAAACCUAUGAACAAGAUAUGCAGUGUCAGUUCAUAAAGUCUCUGACAAAAGGACCUAAAAUGGAUUUUCCUAGAUUUGAAGGAGAAGACCCUGUUGGUUGGAUCAGACAGUGCAACAAGUACUUUCAAUUGUCUGGAGCACCUGAGGAAUAUAAAGUUUCUUUGGCUCUGCUAUAUAUCAUUGGUGAAGCAGAUGUUUGGCUAAGAAGAUCUAGUCUACUAAAGAAGGAAGUAUCAUGGAAGGAAUUUUGUACAAAGAUCACCAAAAGAUUCUCUACACAGGGCCCUUAUGACUUGACUGAAAAGUUUAAUUCAGUGAAACAGUCUAACAGCACAGUGUCUGAAUACACAUUUUUUGUGAAGAUCUUAUGGCUGAUGUACAAGAGGAAACUCCAGAGUUAG
rnacentral:rRNA from 1 species